CCAAGGCUAAAUACUACUGACUGACCGAUAGUGAACCAGUACCGUGAGGGAAAGGCGAAAAGAACCCCGGAGAGGGGAGUGAAAUAGAUCCUGAAACCGUAUGCGUACAAGCAGUGGGAGCCUACUUGUUAGGUGACUGCGUACCUUUUGUAUAAUGGGUCAGCGACUUAUAUUCAGUGGCGAGCUUAACCGAAUAGGGGAGGCGUAGCGAAAGCGAGUGUUAAUAGCGCGUUUAGUCGCUGGGUAUAGACC
rnacentral:rRNA from 1 species